rnacentral:rRNA from 1 species
AUUGAACGCUGGCGGCAGGCUUAACACAUGCAAGUCGAGCGGGGUGAUGGUGCUUGCACUAUCACUUAGCGGCGGACGGGUGAGUAAUGCUUAGGAAUCUGCCUAUUAGUGGGGGACAACAUCUCGAAAGGGAUGCUAAUACCGCAUACGUCCUACGGGAGAAAGCAGGGGAUCACUUGUGACCUUGCGCUAAUAGAUGAGCCUAAGUCGGAUUAGCUAGUUGGUGGGGUAAAGGCCUACCAAGGCGAAGAUCUGUAGCGGGUCUGAGAGGAUGAUCCGCCACACUGGGACGGAGACGCGGCCCAGACUCCUACGGGAGGCAGCAGUGGGGAAUAUGGGACAAUGGGGGGAACCCUGAUCCAGCCAUGCCGCGUGUGUGAAGAAGGCCUUAUGGUUGUAAAGCACUUUAAGCGAGGAGGAGGCUCUUUUGGUUAAUACCCAAGAUGAGUGGACGUUACUCGCAGAAUAAGCACCGGCUAACUCUGUGCCAGCCGCCGCGGUAA